rnacentral:piRNA from 1 species
UAAUCGGUUUUUUGAAAAUUU